rnacentral:lncRNA from 1 species
GGGGUUUGUAGCCCCAAAGGAGGAACAACAAUAUGAACUAACCAGUUCCCCCAGUGCUCCCAGGGAAUAAACCACCAACCAAAGAGUAUGCAUGGAGGGACCCAUGGCUCCAGCCACAUGUGUAGCAGAAGAUGGCCUUGUCAGACAUCAAUGAGAAGAGAGGCCUUUGGUCCUGUGAAGGCUUGAUGCCCCAGUGUAGGGGAAUGCCAGGAUAAGGAAGGGGGUUUAGAGGUUGGUGAGCAUGGGGAAGGGACAAGGAUGGGGUUUUCGGAGGGGAAACCAGGAAAUGGGGUAACAUUUGAAAUGUAAAUAAAGAAAAUAUGUAAUGAAAAAGAGCUUCCUGAUUAAGUUUUUUCUUUCUUUUUUUAUUAGAUAUUUUCAUCAUUUACAUUUCAAAUGCUAUCCCCAAAGCUCCCUAUAUCCUCCCCAUGCCCUGCUCCCCAACCCACCCACUCUCACUUCCUGACCCUGGCAUUCCCCUAUAUUGGGACAUAUGAUUUUCACAAGACCAAGGGCCUCUCCUCCCAAUGAUGGCCAACUAGGCCAUCCUUUGCUACAUAUGCAACUAGAGACACAGCUCUGGGGUGGAGGGUACGGUUAGUUUAUAUUGUUGUUCCUUCUAUAGGGUUGUAGAUCCCUUUAGCUCCGUGGGUAGGUACUUUCUCUAGCUCCUUCAGUAGAGUCCCUGUGUUCCAUCCAAUAAAUGACUGUGAGCAUCCAGUUCUGUAUUUUCCAGUCACUGGCAAAGCCUCACAAGAGAGAGCUAUAUCAGGGUCCUUUCAGCAAAAUCUUUCUGGCAUAUGCAAUAGUGUCUGGGUUUGAUGGUUGAUUAAGUUUUUUUUCAAGCUGACAUAAAUCACAUGAUUGUAAAUUUUCUACACAAUCACAGAGGAACAUAAAAUAUGGACUGUGUAACUUAAAUGGCAUGGGAUACAGUGAACUGGGCUCACCCUGUGAAUUAGUAGAGCUAAGAUGUAGGCAUCAUAUUCAGGGAAACUUAGAAACAAGGAAGAAUCCUAUCUUGAGCACUCUUCUGCUUUGAUCCAGUCUUUCUUUAAAUUUUAGUUGUCAUUCUAAACAUUAUCAAAUGUUAUACGGGGUAAUAAGAUUCACUGUGAUACUCCCAUACAUGUUGUCUAUGUCUUUCCUGUUUGUUUCUAUCUUUGUCUAUUUGGUUGCUUUUUGUUUCUAUGGUGGUUGUUGUUGUUAACUCACCACUAACUAGAGUUACCUGAGAAGAGAAAUCUCAACUGAGAAAUGCCUCUAUUAGAUUGGUUUGGGCCAGUCUGUGAAGCACUUUCUUCAUUGGCAACUGACGUAGGAGGGCCUAGCUCAUGGUGGACAGUGCCACUCCUGGCAAGUAUUCCUAGAUGGUGUAUAAGAAAGAAGAUUGAGCAAGCCAUAGGGAACAAGCCUCUAAGCAGCAUUCCUCCAUAGCCUGUGCUUCAGUUUAUGCUUCCAUUGCCUUCCUUGUCUUAACUUCAUGAUGGACUCCGGGUGUAAGCUAAAAUAAAUCCUUUCCUCCCC